rnacentral:tRNA from 2 species
GGAUGGGUUCCCGAGCGGCCAAAGGGAGCGGACUGUAAAUCCGUUGUCGUAGACUUCGAUGGUUCGAAUCCAUCCCCAUCCACCA